AAUCGGAGUGAAGGGGCGGGACCAGUGUAAACCACGUGAUCAUCCACGCGCGCAGUGCAGAGUCGCUGAGACCGAGAUUUGUGCAAUUGAGAUACCAGCGAUCGUUGCCAAAGCCCUGUUGCCUGUGGAAAAGGAUAUUACAAGUGGACUUUCAGGUGGGAAUCUCAAUAAUUGUAACACCAAACUCUGACAGAAUUACUCAGUUCAUCAGGACCUGGAUAUUCGCAUUGUGUAGCUUGGAAAUAGUCAUAUUGUCACCAUACAUCGACACAGUCACACUGACUAAAGACUGUCCACCUGCACAGUAUGUGAAAAGGGAUUUCCUGGUUCAUCAGGACUGGUUAACUACCAGCAAAUUUCUGAGUAAGUGUUAAUUGAGUUUUAAUUCUGCUGUUAGCUAUAUCCAAACCAUGUUUUUUCGGCUUGUUUCUGGAGAUCAUAGAAUCCCUCCAAUGUGAAAGCAGACCAUUUGGCCCAUCACGAAGAGUGUCCUACCCAGUCUCAGUAACACUGCAUUUAACAUGGCUAAUCCACAUAGUCUGCACAUACCCGGGCACUAUGGGCAAUUUAGCACAGCCAAUCCACCCUAACCUGCACAGCUUUAGACUGGCAGGAAACCAGAGCACCUGGAGGAAACCUGCACAGACACAGAGACUGUGCGAACUGCAUUUAGACAGCAGCCUGAGGCUAGAAUCAAAUGCAGAAAUAGAAACAGUAAACAUCCAUUCAGCCCUUUGACCUUGUUCCUCCUGUCAUCUACGUCAGUUCUACCUUCUCAAAUUAUCCCCAUUUCCCUCAUUGCUGAUGUACAAAAAUCUAACACUGCCUGAUUUGGAAACCCGCGAUGACCAAGAAUCUACAGCUCCCUGGAAUAGGGAAUUCCACAGAUUUACAGUGAUGUGAGUGAAGAAAUUGCUCCUCACCUCAAUCUGAAAUGGUCACACCCUUAUUCUGAGACAAUUACCCCAUGUCCGAGAUUUCCCAGCCAGAGGAAACAUUUACUCAGCAUUGUUCCUAUCAAGCAUCUUCCAAAAAAAAAAGAUAAUUCAAUGAGAUCACUUCUAUUUCUCUAUAUCCUACAGGUUGGUCAUCAGUUAGUUCAGUUGGCUGGACGGCUGAUUUAUGAUGUGGAGUGGUACCAACAGUGUGGGUUCAAUUCCUUCACCAGCUGAGGUGACCAUGAAGGACUGUCCUUCUUGACUUCUUCCCUUGCCUGACUCUCAGGUUAGCCACCACCAUUUGUCUGUCUCGAAUGAGAGACAGCCUGGUUGUCCAGUAGCACUAUGGUGACUUUGAUUUUAUCCCACAGAAUAUAAGCCCUGUUUACUCAAUUUCUUCUGCUCAGAAAUCCCCUCUUCCCAGGAGCCAGUCUGGAGAACCUUUGUUACACUCACUCUAGAUCAUUCAUAUUAGUUCAGUCAUCAGAAACUGCUCACAGUCCUCUAGGGCAGACCUCACUCCUGAAAACUGCUCACAGUCCUCUAGGGCAGACCUUACUCCUGAAAACUGCUCGCAGUCCUCCAGGGCAGAUCUCACCAGAGGAACCUGCUCACAGUACUCCAGGGGAGUUCACUCUCGUUCUUCAAAGCCCUUUGUAAUAAAAGCUUACCUACCGUUC